CUCCGCUGUCCUGGCGUCGUGAGGGAGUUUGUUCCACCAUUGGGGAGCCAGAGCAGCGAACAGUUUUGACUGGGCUGAGUUUUGUCAUUGUGGGUUAUUGUCUAUGUGUAGUGUUUGUGUCAGCACGAUUGUUCAUUAGUGUCACGGUUGUUGUUUUGUAGUGUUCAGCUUUCCCAUUAAAAUGACGAACACCUACCAUGCCGCAUCUUGGUCCUCCUCUCUAUCUCCAAAUGACAACUGUGACAUCGGUCUUUUCUUCACGCAAAUGAUGGGGAUCUGGGCCUGUUCCCGGGAGAGCGGUACAUCUUUCUCGCCAGACUCGUUAAAGGUGUAAGGGCCGUCCCGUGCCAGCAGGGACCUGGCUGCCAUAGAAUUGACCUGGAUGGAUGUACCUAGCGACAAGCUGCUGAUGCCCAUUAUCUGCGUGUCUGACCUGCUGCGCUCACUAUCCUUCAGGAGACCCACAGUCAACAUGGAGGACUUGUUCAAGGUCAUGAAGUUCAUUGAGGACUUUGAACAGGAAGGCUGAGAGGUUUCACUAUCAUGUCUCUCCUCUAAACCCCCGUUCGUACAACCUUUUGUCAAAAAGUUGCUACAGUAUUACAACGUUAAACUCUGACUUGUUCGACUAAUCUACAUUGGCAAGAAUGAUGGAUUUAAAAAAAAAUGAUAUUCUUUCCCUACGCUAUUUUAUUGCCAUCCUACACUUUUACAGUGAGUACAGAGCUCAUCAUUCAGUGGGGAAGGUGUUUGCAUUUGAAUUUGUUUCUGUAUUUUUCAUAAUUUGUCAGUUUUCUUUUUCUGGUUUUGAACAUUGAAAAUAAUAGUUCCACGACAGACAUUAUCAUUGGGGUGGCAGGUAGCCUAGUGGUUAGAGCAUUGGCCCAGGGGGCCUGGGAAUCGAACUCGCAACCCUUGCGGUGCAAUCGCCAUCCUUUACAGGACCACACAUUUAUAAUGUAAUGCUUGUUAAUAACAGUCAAUAAGUGAUAACGGUAUAUAGUAGUGUAAUUGUUUACAACAAUGUACAGCACAUCUACCAAUGCACAGAUGCGUUUGAAGAGCCUAUUUUGUUUUCAAAAUCAUCAGACCCCUAACUGGGAGCAGCCUGGGGGACAUCAACGGAAUGGAAAUUAAACUAUUUCAGAUAAUUAAAUAUCAAUGUAUUUAUAUGUAACAU